AGUGCGUCCUUUCUCUCCUGACUUUUUAGCAGUCCUGGGUAAAUAUUGGUUUGCCCCCAGUUUACCUUUUCACUGACUGGCCAUUUGCAGACUAAGGAACAAACCUCUGGGAAGACUUGAUUUUUGUGUUCCUUUGGAGCCCUAUUCAUCCUUCCCGUUGACUCCUUCCUCCCUCUAAGUGGUAUUGUAAAACUCCACGGUGACAAAGAGACCAAGUAGGGUUCCAGGCUCCAGUCCUCGCAGACUUGAGGGCUUGAGGGCAGUUUACAUACAGGUCAGACGCGGCUGGAGGCCAAGGUCAAGUUGAAAGUUGCUGUCUAGUCAGCGUGAGAAACCUCAAUGAAAGCCUGGGGUCUGGGGGCAGCAGGGAGGCCGACCGCCCACCUCCCCUCA
rnacentral:lncRNA from 1 species